UUCUUCAGGCACUCCCUAAGGCAUGUCACAAGUUGUCCUUUUAAUUUGUGCAGGAUAUUCUUGCAAUGUGUGUGACAUAUUUUUAUUCUGGCUAUACAUAAGUUGUUACUAGCCUAUAUAUGUAUGCAUUGUUGGGGAAGGUUUAUCUACAGGAUGAGCAAUGAAAACUACCAGAGAAUCCUGAUAAAGUAGAAAGACCCCUGAAAAGAGCUAUUAAUUGUAAUAAAAGACACAAAUGGUAGCAGAGGUCAUGAAAUUAACAAAAUUCUUAUCUUGUUCUGAUGCAGAAACAACAUGCAAUUCCCACACAACCCAAACCAUUCUAUGAUUCUCUGAUAAGACUGGUCAGGGCUCUAGACCCACCUUUUAAAAUUUAAUAUUUAAUUUAUAUUUCUCAGACACACCACAGAAAACUGAAUGAAACCUACGCAGAUCAGCUGAAUACGUAUGUAAAAGAUGAGUCUAAACUCACCUUCCUUACAGCGUGCCUUUAAUCACAAGAAAACACAAAGUUCUCCUUUCCUCCCUUUUGCUCUCCUACUUCUACAGCUUUCUUCCUCCUUCCUGAAGUGAGCUCCCGACAGUGAUAGCAGGGCUGUGCUCUGAGCCACCAGGACCUGUGAGUCAGCAUCCUUUCCCACAAGGCUCAGUAAUUGGGAUUUUUCAGGGAAACACUGCCGCCUUGUUAUGUCUCAAUGAUUUGGGGUUUCUUUUGGAAAACACCUUAGAUUUAGAAGAUUAAAAAAAAACCCACUGCCUAUCAUUGUGUAGGUGAGCCAAGGACCCAUUGUCUCCCCAAGGGAAACCUUACCAAGGCAGCACUAAAGUGCUCAGGAGGUGGGGAAAUGGCUCCAUCUCCCUCCGGGCAUUUCUGAAUACCACCUGCUGAACAGGGAUAUCUCUGGAGCGAGGUUAAAUGCCUCCAGGGCUGAAUUUUAAAUCUAGUGUUCUCCUGCAAAAGAGGAACACAGGUGACUAUGGAAGAAUGGUAGGAAUUGUCUUAUUAUAAUCCUUUUAAUUUGCUGCUUAAUUAGCCAACUCUAGAAGUGCACAUUGAUUUCUACCAUUAAACAUUCUAUCGAAAUGGAAUCUCUGAGGCAUGAUAGGAAACUCAGGAAGCUGCUGAUUAAGUAUUUGCUCAUAGGCAUUUUAACCUUAAACAGGGCCAACCAGCCAACAGGAUGGAUGCUUUGUGUGUGUGCUGGAUUUAUUGUUGCUCCAGUUUCACUGGAGCAUAUUAUAGACCUUAUAAUACCU
rnacentral:lncRNA from 1 species